UGGCGGCAUGCCUUACACAUGCAAGUCGAACGGCAGCACGGGAGCAAUCCUGGUGGCGAGUGGCGAACGGGUGAGUAAUAUAUCGGGAACGUGCCCAGUCGUGGGGGAUAACGUAGCGAAAGCUACGCUAAUACCGCAUACGAUCUAUGGAUGAAAGCGGGGGAUCGCAAGACCUCGCGCGAUUGGAGCGGCCGAUAUCAGAUUAGGUAGUUGGUGAGGUAAAGGCUCACCAAGCCGACGAUCUGUAGCUGGUCUGAGAGGACGACCAGCCACACUGGGACUGAGACACGGCCCAGACUCCUACGGGAGGCAGCAGUGGGGAAUUUUGGACAAUGGGCGCAAGCCUGAUCCAGCAAUGCCGCGUGCAGGAUGAAGGCCUUCGGGUUGUAAACUGCUUUUGUACGGAACGAAACGGUGAGCUCUAAUACAGUUUGCUAAUGACGGUACCGUAAGAAUAAGCACCGGCUAACUACGUG
rnacentral:rRNA from 1 species